rnacentral:rRNA from 1 species
UACGUAGGGUCCAAGCGUUAAUCGGAAUUACUGGGCGUAAAGCGUGCGCAGGCGGUUCUGAAAGUCAGCUGUGAAAGCCCCGGGCUUAACCUGGGAAUGGCGGUUGAAACUACAGGACUAGAAUCUGGCAGAGGGGGGUGGAAUUCCACGUGUAGCAGUGAAAUGCGUAGAGAUGUGGAGGAACACCGAUGGCGAAGGCAGCCCCCUGGGUCAAGAUUGACGCUCAUGCACGAAAGCGUGGGGAGCAAACAGG